rnacentral:rRNA from 1 species
GAUUAACGUCAUCACACAGCCAUUACCUGCUAUGCUUAUUCCUCCUCAAGAAAAGAACUUUACAACGUUUCCGCCUUCUUCGUUCACGCGGCGUCGCUCCGUCAGGGUUUCCCCCAUUGCGGAAGAUUCUUAG